UACGAAGGGGGCUAGCGUUGCUCGGAAUCACUGGGCGUAAAGGGUGCGUAGGCGGGUCUUUAAGUCAGGGGUGAAAUCCUGGAGCUCAACUCCAGAACUGCCUUUGAUACUGAGGAUCUUGAGUUCGGGAGAGGUGAGUGGAACUGCGAGUGUAGAGGUGAAAUUCGUAGAUAUUCGCAAAAACACCAGUGGCGAAGGCGGCUCACUGGCCCGAUACUGACGCUGAGGCACGAAGGCCAGGGGAGCAAACGGG
rnacentral:rRNA from 1 species